GAUGAAGAACGUAGCGAAAUGCGAUAAGUAAUGUGAAUUGCAGAAUUCAGUGAAUCAUCGAAUCUUUGAACGCACAUUGCGCCCCUUGGUAUUCCGGGGGGCAUGCCUGUUCGAGCGUCAUUUCAACCCUCAAGCUCUGCUUGUGUUGGGGUCCUGCGGCUGCCCGCAGGCCCUGAAACCCAGUGGCGGGCUCGCUAGUCACACCGAGCGCAGUAGCACAUCUCGCUCAGGGCGUGCGGCGGGUUCUUGCCGUAAAACAACCCCCCCUUUUCACCAAGGUUGACCUCGGAUCAGGUAGGAAUACCCGCUGAACUUAAGCAUAUCAAUAAGCGGAGGA
rnacentral:misc_RNA from 1 species